GGAGUUAUGGCGUAGUGGUUAUCGCGUCUGUCUUACAGCAGAUUGUUGCAGUUUCACAGAAGGUCGUCAGUUCGACCCUGACUAAUUUCA